GACGAACGCUGGCGGCGUGCUUAACACAUGCAAGUCGAACGGAAAGGCCCUGCUUUUGUGGGGUGCUCGAGUGGCGAACGGGUGAGUAACACGUGAGUAACCUGCCCUUGACUUUGGGAUAACUUCAGGAAACUGGGGCUAAUACCGGAUAGGAGCUCCUGCUGCAUGGUGGGGGUUGGAAAGUUUCGGCGGUUGGGGAUGGACUCGCGGCUUAUCAGCUUGUUGGUGGGGUAGUGGCUUACCAAGGCUUUGACGGGUAGCCGGCCUGAGAGGGUGACCGGCCACAUUGGGACUGAGAUACGGCCCAGACUGCUACGGGAGGCAGAAGUGGGGAAUAUUGCGCAGUGGGCGGGAGCCUGAUGCAGCAACGCCGCGUGCGGGAUGACGGCCUUCGGGUUGUAAACCGCUUUCGCCUGUGACGAAGCGUGAGUGACGGUAAUGGGUAAAGAAGCACCGGCUAACUACGUG
rnacentral:rRNA from 1 species